UACGAAGGGGACUAGCGUUGUUCGGAUUUACUGGGCGUAAAGCGCGCGUAGGCGGAUCGCUAAGUCAGGGGUGAAAUCCUGGAGCUCAACUCCAGAACUGCCUUUGAUACUGGGGAUCUCGAGUCCGGAAGAGGUGAGUGGAACUCCGAGUGUAGAGGUGAAAUUCGUAGAUAUUCGGAAGAACACCAGUGGCGAAGGCGGCUCACUGGUCCGGUACUGACGCUGAGGUGCGAAAGCGUGGGGAGCAAACAGG
rnacentral:rRNA from 1 species